rnacentral:rRNA from 1 species
GAUCCUGGCUCAGAAUCAACGCUGGCGGCGUGCCUAACACAUGCAAGUCGAACGCGAAAGUCCCGGCAACGGGAUGAGUAGAGUGGCAGACGGGUGAGUAACACGUGGGUAACCUACCCUGGAGUGAGGAAUAACCCCGCGAAAGCGGGGCUAAUACCGCAUAACAUCCCGAAGGCUCAAGCUUUUGGGAUCAAAGCUCGCAAGGGCGCUUCAGGAGGGGCCCGCGCCUGAUUAGCUAGUUGGUAAGGUAACGGCUUACCAAGGCUACGAUCAGUAGCCGGCCUGAGAGGGUGAACGGCCACACUGGAACUGAGACACGGUCCAGACUCCUACGGGAGGCAGCAGUGGGGAAUUUUGCGCAAUGGGCGAAAGCCUGACGCAGCAACGCCGCGUGGGUGAUGAAGUCCCUUGGGACGUAAAACCCUGUCGGCUGGGACGAAACGACCCGCAAGGGUAACUGACUGUACCAGCAGAGGAAGCCCCGGCUAACUCCGUGCCAGCAGCCGCGGUAAUACGGGGGGGGCAAGCGUUGUUCGGAAUUACUGGGCAUAAAGGGCGUGUAGGCGGCCUAGCAAGUCAGUUGUGAAAGCCCCAGGCUCAACUUGGGAAUUGCAACUGAAACUGCCGGGCUAGAGUUCAGGAGAGGAGGGCGGAACUCCCAGUGUAGCGGUGAAAUGCGUAGAUAUUGGGAGGAACACCGGUGGCGAAGGCGGCUCUCUGGACUGAAACUGACGCUGAGGCGCGAAAGCCAGGGGAGCGAAACG